UACGUAGGCAGCGAGCGUUGUUCGGAAUUACUGGGCGUAAAGAGUGUGUAGGCGGUGCUCUAAGUUCGGUGUGAAAUCUCCCGGCUUAACUGGGAGGGUGCGCUAUAGACUGUGGGACUAGAGUGUGGGAGAGGAAAGUGGAAUUCCUGGUGUAGCGGUGAAAUGCGUAGAUAUCAGGAGGAACACCGGUGGUGUAAACGGCUUUCUGGACCAUAACUGACGCUGAGGCACGAAAGCGUGGGUAGCAAACAGG
rnacentral:rRNA from 1 species